rnacentral:lncRNA from 1 species
AGCAGAGCAUCGAUCUCUGCAUCCUCCUCUCUUCUCUGUAGUCGCCAUUUGAUCACUGGCAAGAGAGGGAGCAUACAGCCAGCAUCACCAAUAAAAUCCAUUCCUCCUCUGUUGCCCACCCUCUGACAGGAUGCAUAAAUCCCAGGGUUAACUGAAAACUACAAAAGUCAUACUGCCGUGGCAACUCUAGUACAAGGCGGAGAUUGACUAUCCAACCCAGACCUACGCUUCCUACAUAUGGCAGGAAGGAGUCU